rnacentral:rRNA from 1 species
UACGAAGGGGGCUAGCGUUGCUCGGAAUCACUGGGCGUAAAGCGCACGUAGGCGGAUCUUUAAGUCAGAGGUGAAAUCCCAAGGCUCAACCUUGGAACUGCCUUUGAUACUGGGGAUCUCGAGUCCGGAAGAGGUGAGUGGAACUGGCGAGUGUAGAGGUGAAAUUCGUAGAUAUUCGCAAGAACACCAGUGGCGAAGGCGGACUCACUGGUCCGGUACUGACGCUGAGGUGGCGAAAGCGUGGGGAGCAAACAGG